UUGGACGGUAAAUUUUGUAAUAUCCUUACGGGAGACGUGAUCUGCCCUUGUGACUUAGGAGAGCUUGAGAACCUGAUUCGUUUCUGUGGCACUGCUCAUUUUAUCCAGACGCCACGCCAGACAAAAGACAUUACUUCAUAAAGUCGUCACUCCACCCUAUUCAUUUUAUUGCCUAACUCUGGGAAAAAAGUAUCUCCAACUGAAAGAACACUUAAUUACUAAAACAAUGGAUUCCCUGGAGGCUCUGAAGUCGUCAGUCUUCAGACAAAGAUAGAAUAGCUGACGCAGUUCAAGUUGCAACCUGUAUGAAACAAACACUGAAGAAUUGUCCAUGGAGUUUGUUCACAUUUUUUUCCCACCACAAGUUGUAUUCUGUCUUCAAGAAAAGGGGACUACUUCCCUGUCAAAAGCUUCCAAAUAGCCUACAUAUCAAAAAAAUCAAACAAAAUAGAUGAAAGGGACAUUAUCUCAAGUAAAAUAAGAACCCAAGCCUCUUGUUGUCCUUGCCAUAAUCCAGUAUCUUGGUAGCCUUAGAAGAGAACUUCCAAUUUGCCUUUGUUCCUUGAUAAGAUCUUAUUUAUUUCUCCAUAAAAAUGUCCAGGAAGAACAUCACAUUAGGGUCCUUUUCUCUUUUCACAGAAUCAGGCAUUUGUGAUAAGGCUAAACUGUUAAAUGAUUGUCUUUGUCUUAGAAGCUUGUUAAGUAGCCAGUUAGAGGCAAUAAAUCAGAAGGAGUCCGACAGCACCUU